AUACGACCAUGAGUAUCUUGUCUUGCAAUGGUCUGAUAUUUUAUCAUGUUAUUUUUAUAUAGGUUUCAGUCUCUAAAAUACUUUUUUAUGUAGGCCUAUGAGGCCUGUGGUGAAAUAGAUUAUAUAUGGUACCUGCUAUUACACAAAAUUCAACAUAAAUACAACCAUAAUACAGUAUUUGCAAGCUCUGUGGCAGUCAGGAACAUGUGGCCUGAAAUGUAAAUACCUUAGGCAGGUGCUGACCACAUUUGUUUCACGGCCGGGCAUGCCGCAGUCAUUCGUAGCAGCAGGAUGCCGAAUAAUUGAACACUGACCAAAGAGGAAUAAACUCCUCCUCCAUGCCCUGACCAAUAUUUAAAAUCAACACAAUAAGGGUUCUCCGACUCACAGACCACACUUUGUUGGCGAUGCUUAUAAUUAAUAGCCCCAUGUUGUUACAAAUUAAAUCAUGCAAUUUAAUCUGAUCAGCGAAAAAGCAAACUAUAGCCACUGCAAAAACUGGCCAUUCUCCCGUCUACAACGGAAAAGAAUAAUACAUUACACUUCAAUAAUAUGGUACAUGCUACGUACUUAUAUAAUACAAUGUCAAGUUUCUCCGAAGUAAUGGCGGCACCAGCCGGUGGUCGACGUCAGAGGGUAACUUACCCCACCCCGGACAAUCAUGGAGGCCCGUCGUCGAUAAAUCAACUUUCGUCGGACGGAAAAUGGUACCUUGCCGAUCUAAACAAACUUAUUUAAUUGCCAAUUUGUAACAUUUGGUUUAGAAGCACAGUUUUGAGUUUUGAUUCUAAACCAUAAAAUCUUUCCGCAUGGACCACCAGGCAUUUUAUUCCAGGACCCAUGCAAUGUUUGUCUGUAAGCUGCCUCUUUGUUCGCACUUCAGCUUCUACUUCUGGUUUAGGCUUCAGGCCUUGGGAAGUCUGCUUGAUAUGUACUUUAAUCUAAUUUGUAUUUUGAUAUACAGUAGAUAAGGUUAACUUCUGAUAAUUAUUUAUAUAUUACAAUGCAUUAUGGUUGUCAUGUUUAAGGUACUAAAGUACUUUCAUGCAUUGUUUUAAUGUCUUAUUUGAUGCUGUUCUAUUGACUGUUGCGUACCCUUUUUGUCGUUAUUAAAAUGACAUUAAUCUUUA